AGGUCCUGAAAUAUAAGGUGUUUUGUUGUCAUCUACUCUUUAAGAUAGCACAGCUAGUGCAACAAUCUGGAUUCUUCAUCCAGACACUAAAGUCAUUCCCUUACAGUGACAACUUUGGAAAGCUGCUUUUGUCAGGAAACAAAGGAGUUAGUGAAAAAAAGCUCAAGCUUAAUUGUUGUGGCACAUUCAACUUAUUUUAGUUGUUCGAUGAAGUUACUUAGCUAGUGAAACAUUUUUGAGAUAAAAUUUUGUCUAGAACGGAUCUCAUAAAAAAUUGUGAGCAGAAUGUUAUAUUGGUUAGGGCAGGGGUUCCCAACGUUUUUAUUGCUUACACCCGUCCUGGGCAUCUUAGUACAGCACCAAACAACGUAUCUGGGAGGUAGUGGGUAAGUGGGGCAAAUGGAAGAGUGAUCCCAUGCCCCUGCUAAAGCAGGCAUGGCCCUGUGCCCAAUAUGUCUUUACUAGCAAAGUGUCCAUCAAGGACAGAGUGCCACCACCCUGCACUGCCACUGCCUAAUGUCUGGCCACACCCCGUGCCAGGCGCCACCUCUCCCCCACAGCAUCCAGUCAGCCACACGCCCCUCCCCCACAGCAUCCAGUCAGCCACACGACCACACACAUCUAGCCACCCCACGCCCCGCCCUGACCCCCUGCGCGCCACGCCACCCGCGGGUGCUCCCAGCGCAGGACCGGGCGUGGCAUGUGGCCACAGGGUGCCACGUGGAGAGCGGGCAGGGCGCCGUGCCCCGCCCCAUCCCGUGACCGUGUGCUGCAGCCGCCGGACACUGCCCUCGCCCCCCUGCCCGUUCCCGUCGCAGUACUCUACGGCCGCACGCCGGGAGCGCUCCCCAGCUGCGGGCCGCGGCCACAGCAGAUCACAAGGGGAAGAAGAAGGAUGUUGUAAAAUCUGUUCCACUUGUAUUUCAACAUCCAUCCUCACUGUAGGUGACUUCCUUUUCCUUUUGGACUGGAUGGCAUUUGAAAAUAACGGCGUUGGCUAGUUUGAUUCGGCAGUUCCAAGCUGUACUCUCAUAACUUCUGUUUUAGUAAACUAGACUAACUAGAUGUAUCUACAGAACAUAUUGUCUUUCAAUUUGUUAUUUAUUACUAAAUAAUAAAAGCAAUAAAAGUUUUACCA
rnacentral:lncRNA from 1 species